rnacentral:lncRNA from 10 species
GUUCACUGCACGCCCAGGUUCACCGCAGCACUAUUGACAAUAGCCAAGAUGUGGAAUGAGUGUAAUGUCCAACAACAGAUACAUGGAUAGAGAAAAUACAGCAUAUACACAAUGGAGUUACUCAGCCAUUAAAAAAACAAUAAAAUCCCAUCAUUUGCAGCAAUACGGAUGGAACUGGAGGACACUGUGUUAAGUGAAACAAGCUAGAAAGCUAAAUAGCACAUGUUCUCACUCAUAAAUGGAAGCUUAAAAAUGUUGAUCUCCUAGAAGUGAAAAGCAGAACAGAGGAUACUAGAGGUUGGGAAGGGUUGGGGGAGGGAGGGAUAAGAGGAGAUCUGUAAAGAUACAAAAUUACAGCUGGAUAAGAGGAAUAAAUUCUAGCAUUCUAUAGCACUGUAGGAUGACUGUAAUUAACAGUAUAUUAUAUGGUUUCAAAUCGCUGGAAGGAGGAUAUUGAAUGUUCCCAACACGAAGAAAUGAUACAUGUCUGAGAUGAUGGCUUUGCCAAUUACCCUGAUCUUAUCACUACACAUUAUAUGGAUUGAAACACCACUAUGAACCCCAUAGAGAUGUACAAAGAUUGUCAAUUUAAAAAAAGAAAACAGAAAUGUGGUACAUAGAUGCUAUGGAAUACUGUUCAGCCUCAAAUAAGAAGGAAAUUAUGUGAUCCGUGACAACAUGGAUGAACCUGGAGGACAUUAUGUUAAAUGAAAUAAACCAGGAAUGGAAAGACAAAUUCUGCAUGAUCCCACUUACAUAUGGGAGCAAAAAAAAAAAAAAAAAGUCAAAUACGUAAAAACAAUAGAAUGUGGUUACCAGGGGCAGGUGGUGGGGGAAUGGGGAGAUGUAGGUCAAAGGGUACACAACUGUGCAGGAUGAAUAAAUCUAGAAACCCAACAUACAGCAGGAGGAAUGUAGUUAAUAAUAUUGCAUUGUACACUGGAAGUUUGCUAGGAAAGUAGAUUUUAGGUGCUCUUACCACAAAACCAAACGUAACUUUGUGAGAUGGUGGAAUGUUCAUUAGCUUGACUGCAGUAAUUAUUUAAGUGUGUGUGUGUGUCUGUGUGUGUGUGUGUACCUCAGCCCCAUGUUCAGAGAUAGCUUUGGUCCUGAGGGAUCAGUGCCCAAAUAUGUUCAAUGUUACCCUUGGAGCAGUGUAAAGUCCAAAAGACUAAUAUGGUCACCUAAUGGCAUGUUAGACAAUCCUUUAAAGCUGUGCCAUGGAGCACUGUAAUAACGCUUUUAAAAUACCUAUACCAGGAUACUUGGAGAACAUUGGGUAUGAAUUGCAUCUGAUAGGAUCAUAUCUAAUUAAAAUAAGCUUAGAAAGAAUACUGGAAAGAAAUACACUGUAAUAGAAUACAAAAGUGUCCAUAAGUAUCCCCUGCCUGUUUCCACACCCUCUCACUGAGUCUGGGCCCCAGUCCUUGAAUCGCGGCUGGCUUGGGACUUGGGUCAAGGAAUAGGGUCUGAGACUCUGUGCCUGUUCCUAG